rfam:Triticum aestivum genome assembly, contig: Triticum_aestivum_CS42_TGACv1_scaffold_556537_7AL
AAAGUACUCCCUCCAUCCGAAAAAGUUUGUCUCUCAAAUGGAUGUAUCUAGCACCAAGUUAGUGCUAGAUACAUCAAUUUAAGGAACAAACUUGGGGCAAACUUUUUUGAACGGAGGGAGUAUGUC